rnacentral:rRNA from 1 species
GACGAACGCUGGCGGCGUGCUUAACACAUGCAAGUCGAACGGAAAGGCCCCUUUUGGGGUCCUCGAGUGGCGAACGGGUGAGUAACACGUGAGUAACCUGCCCUUGACUUCGGGAUAACUUCAGGAAACUGGGGCUAAUACCUGAUAGGAAUCCUUGCUGCAUGGUUGGGGUUGGAAAGCUUCGGCGGUUUUGGAUGGACUCGCGGCUUAUCAGCUUGUUGGUGGGGUAGUGGCUUACCAAGGCUUUGACGGGUAGCCGGCCUGAGAGGGCGACCGGCCACAUUGGGACUGAGAUACGGCCCAGACUCCUACGGGAGGCAGCAGUGGGUAAUAUUGCACAAUGGGCGGAAGCCUGAUGCAGCAACGCCGCGUGCGGGAUGACGGCCUUCGGGUUGUAAACCGCUUUCAGCAGGGGCGAAGCUUGUGGUGACGGUACCUGCAGAAGAAGCACCGGCUAACUACGUG